UACGUAGGGUGCGAGCGUUAAUCGGAAUUACUGGGCGUAAAGCGUGCGCAGGCGGUGAUGUAAGACAGAUGUGAAAGCCCCCGGCUCAACUGGGGAGGGUCAUUCGAUACUGAUCGACUCGAAGGCAGGAGAGGGUAGUGGAAUUCCCGGUGUAGUGGUGAAAUGCGUAGAUAUCGGGAGGAACACCAGUGGCGAAGGCGACUACCUGGCCUGUUCUUGACGCUGAGGCGCGAAAGCUAGGGGAGCAAACGGG
rnacentral:rRNA from 1 species